rnacentral:rRNA from 1 species
GAUGAACGCUGGCGGCGUGCCUAAUACAUGCAAGUCGAGCGAAUGGAUUAAGAGCUUGCUCUUAUGAAGUUAGCGGCGGACGGGUGAGUAACACGUGGGUAACCUGCCCAUAAGACUGGGAUAACUCCGGGAAACUGGGGCUAAUACCGGAUAACAUUUUGAACCGCAUGGUUCGAAAUGGAAAGGCGGCUUCGGCUGUCACUUAUGGAUGGACCCGCAUCGCAUUAGCUAGUUGGUGAGGUAACGGCUCACCAAGGCAACGAUGCGUAGCCGACCUGAGAGGGUGAUCGGCCACACUGGGACUGAGACACGGCCCAGACUCCUACGGGAGGCAGCAGUAGGGAAUCUUCCGCAAUGGACGAAAGUCUGACGGAGCAACGCCGCGUGAGUGAUGAAGGCUUUCGGGUCGUAAAACUCUGUUGUUAGGGAAGAACAAGUGCUAGUUGAAUAAGCUGGCACCUUGACGGUACCUAACCAGAAAGCCACGGCUAACUACGUGCCAGCAGCCGCAGUAA